CAGAGCUCUUUACGAACAUUAUUGGAAAAAAAAAAUCCUCUGAUCUAUUAUAAGUGUAUAAAGAGAUACAGAAUACACAAUUUCUUUGAAAGGGCACAGCAAUAACGCAACUACAUUCGUGCACAGUAAUAAUGACUUGGCUUCUCUUUACCUCUUGCAUUUUUCUGUAAUUAGAUGGGUCAGCCUAUAAAUAUUACAGCUGCCCUUACUCUGCUUCAUACAGACCUGGAGAGCUAACAAGAGAACAGCUACAGCAACGACAAUGAGUGACAAUAUGAAUGAAGUUGCAGUUUACAGUCUGCAAGAUCCAGAGCCAGGGAACAGAGCUGAGUUUUUAAAAUAUUCCUGUCAGCUCACACUGGACUCCAACACAGCGCAUACAGUGCUUUAUCUGUCUGAAGGGAACAGAAAAGUGGCAGUGAGGAGAGCGACCCGGUCAUAUCCUGAUCACCGAGAGAGAUUUGACUGACGGGCCGAAGUGGUUUGUCUGGGAAUCGCUGUUAAUGGGAGAUUGAGUGCAGUGGGAAAGAGGUUUCUAUAGGAGUCACAUAUAAAGGAAUCCUCAAGAAAGGGCCUCAUCAUUCCUGUAUCUUUGGAUUCAAUGACAGGUCCUGGAGCUUGGACUGCUCUGGAUCCAGAUACACUGCCUGGCACAAUAGCAAUCAAACUGCAAUAACUGCCCCCCACUCUCCCAGAAUAGGAGUGUAUCUGGACUUUAAUGCUGGCACUCUGUCAUUUUAUGGUUUCUCUGACAAAAUGACCCUACUGAUUCCAAUAGAUUCCAAACCGCAUUCACUGAGCCGCUCUAUCCUGGGUUUUGGCUUCCUUAUUACAAUUCCACUUUAACAAUCUGCCAGCUGAACUAGACUAUUUUGUGCUUUAAGAAAACCUUUCUAUUAAACUACCCGAAUGAAGGGAAUUUUAUUGUUUAAUCUGUCAGGUGAGUGUUUUUGUAAUUCUAAACACUCACAACUGUUCAGCUGUUUCAUUAUAAUAUGUUCAAUAUGUCCUGAGUAUUUAUUGAUUACAAACACAUAAACAGCAUCAAGUGGCAGACUUAGUUGGCAUCUCUGCACAGUGCUAAAAUUUCCACAGCAAGUGCUGAUAAGUAUCUCUUAAGGUGAUUGUAGCUCACUAAAUAAUUCCACAAUGUGUGCCUAUAUUUCUCUUCCAUUGGCUACAUAGGUCUCAGAUGUGCAGGUUUGAAAAGCAUGAGAUCUAGUGCUACUUUAGGCUAAAGAAAGUUCUCAGUUUCUAUGGCUUGUUCUCAGAGUGCAUGUUUACUGUAGCAGGUGUUUCUUUCAACACUGCACAUUUGAAACCUAUAUAAUGAAUGGAAGUGCACAGCGACUGAAAUUCAUGGGAUUAUUUUGUUAGCUGCAAUCCCUAUCAAUGUCAGGUUUGGUAAAUAGCAGCUCACAAUACUUGCCAUGUCAAAGGCAUGUCAAUAUAGUUUCUAGCAGAUUCCUGUAUACAGUAGAAUCCUGUUAGCUGAAUAGUGUUUGAACUUGAUGCUGAAGUUUAUGGUAACCCUUUAUAUGAUGGUGUUAUUUUUAAAUUGUUUAUUAACAUGUUAUAGAUGCUUAAAU